rnacentral:rRNA from 1 species
GACGAACGCUGGCGGCGUGCUUAACACAUGCAAGUCGAACGGAAAGGCCCGGCUUUUGUGCGGUGCUCGUGUGCCGAACACGUGAGUAUCACGUGAGUAACCUGCCCUUUACUGUGGGAUAACUUCAUGAGACUGGGGCUAUUACAGCAUAUAAGAUCCUGCUGCAUGGUGUGUGUUGGAGAGUGUCGGCGUUUGGGGAUGUACGCGAGGUUUAUCAUCUUGUUGGUGGGGUAGUGGCUUACCAAGGCUUUGACGGGUAGCCGGACUGAGAGGGUGACAGGGCACAUGGGCACUGAGGUAGGAGCCAGACGGGUACGGGAGGAAGAGGUGGGGAAUAUAGCGCAAUAGGCGGCAGCAUGAUGCAGCGUUGUCGGGUGCGAGAUGACGGCUUUCGGGUUAUAACCCGAUUUCGAAUGUGAAGAAGAGUGAGUGACGGUAACGAGUAAGGAAGCAACGGCUAACUACGUG